CAUAACUAUAUGUAAACUGAAACACUUAACAUCAGCACUCGACCGAAAAUUUUACAAUAUUCAAAAGUAGAACUCGGUCCACAAGGACGUGAAAUAUUUUGCAAACAGAAAAUUUAAAUAUUUUCUUUAGCGUCAGUACACUUCUUUCGACAAAAGGGAUUAAAACCUUGUAUUAAUAAUGCUUUUAAUUGUGUUCACGUUGUUGUUCUUUACAGAAGAAUCGUACGGAAUACAGUGUAUACAUUGUACAGACAUUGUGCUGAAUAGUUCUUCUAUCCCAUCUGCAUUUAAAGUUGCAAUGCAGGCAUACAGAACACCAAACUGUGAAAAUGCACACACAGCCUCGACUUCCUCGGGCAUAACAUUGAGUAAUUGCACAGAAGUUGCAAGCUCGGGACAAGUGAACAAAUGUGGAAGACUGGUUGGAUCACUGUUGGUUUCGAGUGGUUAUUCUGUAAAUAGAUUAGAAUUACCUUAUUACUUUCACAUCAGAGGAUGUUUCACCGUAGAUCAGUCAUUAGAAAGAGGAUGCUACCGAAACCGUAGGAUUAUUGAUCAGAAUAGAGGUCAUUUUUCCGAUUACUUUGAAGGAAUGGAUUCCUUGAAACUAGGAGAAUUUAAUGGGGUUCUCUGUAUCAAUGGAGCUAACAACGUGGAUCCAUGGAGGAAAACCAACGUGGCAAUAAGGCAUAGUUAUUGCUUGGUAACUUUAACUGUGUUUGUUAUGGUUUAUUGUUUAUCCUAGACAAAACAAACAAAAACAUAAUUAUUCUGAAUCUAAAAGAAACAGCAAUUUAUGAUAUAUUUUGUUUUCUAUUAGAUUUGUAAUUUGGUACUUCCGUUUAACUUGUAUUCCCCAAAAGUUUGUUUUGUAUUGUACGACAAUGUUGAUUUCAAAAGACAUAGUACUAUAUUGCUUUGAUUGAUUUUACAAUGUUUUAUAUGUCUCUAGAAGUCUGGAGCGUUCAUAUUUUUUUUUAUAGAUUCACACUUCAUGACUGCAAAAGUAUUAUUUUAAAACCAUUAUGACUUUUUUAUAUUUCAUUUUCCUCCUGAAACGAACAACGUCAUGCCAUUAUACAAUAUAAUUCAAGGCGAUGUGAUAUGAUUGUCAAUGGACAACUCUCCACCAGAUACAUAAUGAUAUAAAAGUUAACAGCUAUAGGUCACACAACUGUUGUAAGUAAUGUACUAAACCAGGCCAGAAGCGGCAGCGUAAUUAUUCAGUCAUUCGAACGGGUACCAAUUUACAAAAUUCACUUCAUCGUAUAGCAUUGAUACUAUUUAUAUAUAUAAACUGAAUUAUGGAUUUUUGUUUGUGAUAAAAUCACAAAACUACAAUCAAAUAAUAAUAUAUUACUUUAAAUGUUUAAUUUGUAACUGUUUCUUUCUUCCAUUGUCUCAUAAUGUGUUCUUUCAGGAUUCCAAACUAUAAGUAAAAUUCUUUUCGUUUAUUUUUUGGUCACAAACUAAUUAUGUUUAUAUGACAAUAAUGAUAUUAUAAUGUAUUCUUUUAUACGACGAAAUAACGUCCUCGUGGGUUUCUUUCAUCAUUUAAGGACCUUUAACAACAUUUAUUUUACAAAAAUUCUUUUAAAAGAGAUAGAAUUUUAAAGUGGGUCAUUAAACAAUGAAAAAUAAACAGAUAUUUAUUAAAUAUUUUUUUUAUCACGAAAAAAAAAUCAUCCAACACACAUUCAAAAAUUGAAAAACCGUCUUCACCGACUAUAUCUACUUUUAAUUGAAAACUAAAAUGGAUCUUUAAAUAAAAUGCAUUGAUAUAUUAUAUAUAAUUACAUGUGUAACAUAUUCCCGCUGAAAAUAGUAUUCAUGUAAUACAUGUAGUUAAUUGCUAUGUUUGUAGAAUACAUGUACUACUUUUGACUGAAAACUGUCAUAUCGCCCGAUUCUAUUCUUGGGUAUUGACCGUUCGUGUACAUGUGAUAGUUUUGGAUUUGCUUACACUUUGUUUUGCAAGAAUUUACAUUUAUAUUUAUUGUAUAACAUUAUCCAUAAAAUACUCUUUAGCAUUCAG